rnacentral:lncRNA from 1 species
UGUCAUCUAUCUCUUUUAAUUGAGUUAAUUUGCUUGCUGAAAUUAGGUUGAUGCCUUGUGUACUGUUUUUCUUGAUAUGUUUGAUGUUCAUCGAUCGUCCAGAUUUACUAGCACACCAGAUAGAAUUUGGGACUGAUGCCAUUCAAUAGAUUUUCUAGACAUUUUAUUGUGUCUCAUGCUGAAAAAGAAAAUGCACAAUGAGCUUGUUUGACUUUUUUGAUGCUUAGAGUAUACUUGAUCAGGGGGCAGUGUUAUUUCCUGUGAUCUUUCAUGUCAUUUGCUAGUGUGAUGCUUCAAGAUGACAAAUUUAAAAACCUAAACUAUUGUAAAUAAGCGUUCUACAUCUUGAGCAUUUAAAUGUGAGCACUUAACCAUUGUACAACUUUUUCAUAUUUUGUUUUGUAUUUCUUUUAUAAAUGAUGAUAGUCUACGCAAGAUGUACACAUGUUAAUUUUUGUUGACUUGAAUCUGUUAUGCCCUUGAUUUUUUUACUUAGCUUAACCCAGAACAACAACAUCCUUGAUAUUUACUGAUCCCCACCUCGCUCUUUGCACUCGCAGACUUGAAGGCAUCUAUCAUCCCAGCUUUCAGAAUGGAGAAACUAGUGAGUUUCAUAUAUGAUCUGAAUGAAAUGUUUAGGACUUGCGACAGUGGACUUUGCUACUGGUGCGAUCUAUUUCCUGUUUUUGUCUACUAAUCAUCAGUUACUAGAAUUUACCUUCUGCCUGCUACUGCUUGUUUCUUGACGCCACUAGUUUAUACUAAAAUGUGGAGACUUUACACCUUGCAAGAUCAUUCAGUGGUGGUGACCCAUAUGAUGGCGAUUCGCUCCGGCCAUUCUAGUUUUGGCGGUGGUGGUGCUGUUGCUCCUAUGAUGGUAGACUCUUAUGAUUCCCUUAGCCGCAUCCAUGGUGAUGAAGCUCGGCCUAGGCUAGAACCCCCUCCGGUGAGCUCCUCACGUCCUCUUAUACCCCUCCUACUUGCUUGUUGGUUCUAUGCUCCGCCUUUGUGAGGUGUAAUUGUUCAAUUUUGUUCAUAGUCGAGCAUUGGAUGAUAUUGUAUUUGUCAUGAUGUACAUGGUUCAUGAACUAUGCCAACCUGCAGCUUUGUUGUACUAGUGAUAGUAGGAUAAUGCAACUUUUGACAAUCCAUG